CCUUCACCCCAAGUCCGGGGGGUAGGGACCCCUGGUUGUAGUCUCUGGAGUCAGGUCCUUGGAGGAAUUCCUCACUGAACUAUGUUUUGGACCUUUUAUUUUUCUCUAUAACCACCAGCUGAAGAAGAUUGUCUUAGACACAUGGAAGCUGAGGACGCCUACUGUCCCCUCGGAACCCAGGUGGGGCUGGGAGUCUGCUGUUUGUAUAGCCGGUGGGCUCGUGUUGCUUUGGGCAUCCCUGUGUCUGAAUUCCUGCAGUACACUCGGUGGUUUUACCUGAACCACCAGCUUCUGCAUCUCUGAAGACAGAUGAUGAGGACCCUUCACGUAAGCCGUUCGCACAGCCCUCUGCAGGCCUUUGUGCUGCACGGUCUGCCCGGCGAGAUAACUGAGUGCAUUCCAUGGUGCAUCCUCGCCUAGAAUUGAGUGGAAGCAAGUCCAUCUCAGAAGGGACAUAACUGAAGAGGGAUGGCUUUCCAGACUCUGAUGGGCAGAGAGAGCAGCAGCCUGGCAUCUCUGAGCCCGCCCUUGGUGACCUCAGAGAGAUCACCCUAGUGGCCCAGGCUAGUGACCGGGAACAUGUACCUUCCUGCAGCCAACCCCAGACGUCCACUGAUGCAUCAUAUACUGGCAAAGAUGUGAGUUCCUGUGCAUUGGUCUAACAGCAGAGACUCUGCCACAGGCCCAAGAGGUGGUGUGUGGGACAUGCAGGGGUGCAGGAGUGUAGGCAGUGCAAAAGUGUAACUGGUGACAGGGGUGCAGGGGCUGUGGAGGGCGCAGGAAGUUUAGGGGAUGCGGGGGUGCAGGGGUGCAGAAGUGC